rnacentral:rRNA from 1 species
CCUACGGGGGGCAGCAGUGGGGAAUAUUGGACAAUGGGGGCAACCCUGAUCCAGCCAUGCCGCGUGUGUGAAGAAGGCCCUCGGGUUGUAAAGCACUUUCAGUGAGGAAGAACGCCUGGUGGUUAAUACCCAUCAGGAAAGACAUCACUCACAGAAGAAGCACCGGCUAACUCCGUGCCAGCAGCCGCGGUAAUACGGAGGGUGCGAGCGUUAAUCGGAAUUACUGGGCGUAAAGCGCGCGUAGGUGGCUUGAUAAGCCGGUUGUGAAAGCCCCGGGCUCAACCUGGGAACGGCAUCCGGAACUGUCAAGCUAGAGUGCAGGAGAGGAAGGUAGAACUCCCGGUGUAGCGGUGAAAUGCGUAGAGAUCGGGAGGAAUACCAGUGGCGAAGGCGGCCUUCUGGACUGACACUGACACUGAGGUGCGAAAGCGUGGGUAGCAAACAGGAUUAGAUACCCCUGUAGUC